AACGAACGCUGGCGGCAUGCCUAACACAUGCAAGUCGAACGAGACCUUCGGGUCUAGCGGCGCACGGGUGCGUAACGCGUGGGAAUCUGCCCUUCGGUUGGGAAUAACUGAGAGAAAUUUCAGCUAAUACCUUAUAAUGUCUUCGGACCAAAGAUUUAUCGCCGAGGGAUGAGCCCGCGUAGGAUUAGGUAGUUGGUAGGGUAAUGGCCUACCAAGCCGACGAUCCUUAGCUGGUCUGAGAGGAUGAUCAGCCACACUGGGACUGAGACACGGCCCAGACUCCUACGGGAGGCAGCAGUGGGGAAUAUUGGACAAUGGGCGAAAGCCUGAUCCAGCAAUGCCGCGUGAGUGAUGAAGGCCUUAGGGUUGUAAAGCUCUUUUACCCGGGAUGAUAAUGACAGUACCGGGAGAAUAAGCUCCGGCUAACUCCGUG
rnacentral:rRNA from 1 species